UUCUGGCCACCGCCUACCAAAUCUGCUUUCUGUUCAUCUCUGCCUCCUCAAUUUCUAGCAGGUGGAGAAAUGGGAGCUGGAAAACCUUCCGGGAGAUUCUAAUAAAAAUGGAAGAAGAACCAAGUUCUGCUUUGGACUCUGAAGAGACUUUUAAUUCUUGAAGUUACAUGUGAGAGAAAACUGCCAGAUGUGAAAGAAGAGAGAGUUUCCUGUGUGUGCUGCAGUGGAUGUUUAACUUAGGGAAUGGAGCACACAUGGCCACAUGGUGGAAGGAAUGUUGUUUCUCCAUCCUCCACCCCCUUCCCAAGGGCAACUGACCUCCUUGCCAAAAGAGGCGAGCCCUUACCAGCCCAUAUGA